rnacentral:rRNA from 1 species
CCACGCCGUAAACGAUGAUUACUCGGAGUAUGCGAUAUAUUGUAUGCUCCCAAGCGAAAGCGAUAAGUAAUCCACCUGGGGAGUACGUUGGCAACGAUGAAACUCAAAGGAAUUGACGGGGGCCCGCACAAGCGGAGGAACAUGUGGUUUAAUUCGAUGAUACGCGAGGAACCUUACCCGGGAUUGAAAUGUGUAGGAAGGACUUAGGAGACUGAGUUUGUCUGGUUUACCAGUCUACAUGUAGGUGCUGCAUGGUUGU